AGAGUUUGAUCAUGGCUCAGGACGAACGCUGGCGGCGCGCCUAACACAUGCAAGUCGAACGGGGUAUAUAGUUAAGUAAUUGAUUGUAUACCUAGUGGCGGACGGGUGAGUAACGCGUGAGCAACCUGCCUCUAACAGGGGGAUAACGUACCGAAAGGUACACUAAUACCGCAUAAAAUGUAGUUACGCAUGUAACUGUAUAGAAAGGGAUACCGGUUAGAGAUGGGCUCGCGUCCGAUUAGAUAGUUGGUAGGGUAAUAGCCUACCAAGUCAACGAUCGGUAGCCGACCUGAGAGGGUGAUCGGCCACAUUGGAACUGAGAACGGUCCAAACUCCUACGGGAGGCAGCAGUGGGGAAUCUUGGGCAAUGGGGGGAACCCUGACCCAGCGACGCCGCGUGAGGGAAGAAGGUUUUCGGAUUGUAAACCUCUGUUCUUGGUGAAGAGUAUAAGACGGUAGCCAAGGAGGAAGCCCCGGCUAACUACGUGCCAGCAGCCGCGGUAAUACGUAGGGGGCGAGCGUUGUCCGGAAUGAUUGGGCGUAAAGGGCGCGUAGGCGGCGACAUAAGUCUGAAGUGAAAGUCCCAAAUUCAAGUUAGGAAUUGCUUUGGAAACUAUAUUGCUUGAGUGCAGGAGAGGUCAUCGGAGUUCCCGGUGUAGCGGUGAAAUGCGUAGAGAUCGGGAGGAACACCAGUGGCGAAGGCGGGUGGCUGGACUGUAACUGACGCUGAUGCGCGAAAGUGUGGGGAGCAAACAGGAUUAGAUACCCUGGUAGUCCACACCGUAAACGAUGAAUGCUAGGUGUAGGUGGUAUCGACCCCAUCUGUGCCGUCGCAAACGCAAUAAGCAUUCCGCCUGGGGAGUACGGUCGCAAGAUUAAAACUCAAAUGAAUUGACGG
rnacentral:rRNA from 1 species